CUACGUGCCAGCAGCCGCGGUAAUACGGAAGUCGCGGGCGUUAUCCGGAUUUAUUGGGCUUAAAGGGAGCGUAGGCGGCCGGUUAAGUGUGUUGUGAAAUGUAGCGGCUCAACGGCAGACUGCCCUGGAUACUAUGUGGCUAGAGUACGGACAACGUGGGCGGAAUUGCACGAGUAGAGGUGAAAUUCGUAGAUAUGACGAGGAAUGCCGAUGACGAAGAUAGUUGACGGGACGGUAACUGACGCUUAAGUGCGAAGGCUCGGGGAGCAAACAGGAUUAGAUACCCUGGUAGUCCUAGCUGUAAACGAUGGAUGCCCGCUGUGGGCAUGAAGAGUAUCCGUGCCUAAGCGAAUGCGAUAAGUAACCCACCUGGGGAGUACGGCCGCAAGGGUGAAACUCAAAGGAAUUGACGGGGACCCGCACAAGCGGAGGAACAUGUGGUUUAAUUCGAUGAUACGCGAGGAACCUUACCCGGGCUUGAA
rnacentral:rRNA from 1 species